CAUUUUGUUUAUGGUAGGGUGUUCUAAUGUCCAUAAUAGAUAUUGGUCUGUGUGUGUUGGUUUCCUGUAUGUGUUUAUGUUUAGGGUCUCGUCGGUCUGUCUGGUGAUUUUCAUAUCCAUAAAAGCUAUGCUGCUUUCUGCUUCUAACUCAUAAGUGUUGGGGUUAUUAGGUGAACGAAUAAUUUGUAAGCUUUUACUUACUUUUUGGACUCUUCAAUAAAUUCGUAAAUAUGGAAAUAUUUAUCGAUUUAUUAAUUAAUUAAGAUAUCCUUAGAUAUCUGCGGGGCACCACCCAUUCUAAUUAGAAAGGGAAAAUUAAUGAAUCCAAACCUCUGGUUAGUCUGUCUGAAGUUCGUAAAAUCUGUUUAGGAGCAGAGAUUUUCAGCCAACACACACAAAGUCGCUUGACACAAAACUGAACUUAACAACAUUUAUUAACCAACCUAUUUUAUCAAACAAACAACUACAAUAAUGAAUAAUAAUGAGAAAUAUUAUAUAUGUGAAAUAAUAAUCAAAAUGGAGUAUGUUGUGAAAACCCAAGAUGGCUGUGUAUAGGUGUGUGUGUGUGUGUGAUAAUGUCCAAAAUGGAGUCUGUAUGAAGGGGUUCUUUGUUCUGCUGACCACAAGGAUCAACUCUGUGGAAUGUGUAGGAGUGCAAACUGAGCUGACUUUCUCCUCAGUGAUGUGUCCUGAAAAGUUUCCUCAAACUUUCAGUUAGUGGCUUAACUUUCUAAAGCUUGAAACAAUGAUGUGGCAAACUUUCAUUUCACAGCAACUGAUGUCACACAGUUGAAUGUGUGUUUUCCUGUUGCUUUAAAUUAUUUUAUUAAUUGUUGGAAUUUCUUAACAGUUUUGUGUUAUUGCAUGAUUUUGUCGUGUGUUGUUGGUUUUAUGUGCCUGUUUAGUUUAUAUUGUUUUUGCCACUGUUGACAUGACAGUCACCUGAAGAGGUGGGCGUGACUGGGAGAGCGCACCAGGUGCGCAUAGUUAGCGGGCUGAUAAAGGGACGAAGCUGCAGAACUGCAGCAGGAGAGAGGAAAAAGAGACCAAAGAAACCCGAAGGGAGAGGGACUGGACUAAUAGGUGGACGUAGCACGGAACGCGUUGGAUCGCAGGAGGACCGGUUCAUCCCUGGCGUGCAGCGACAACGAGUGGGAGCAACGCCUUUGAAUGACAGCAGGACAGAGGUUGGACCUCUGCCUGCAUCCGGAGGAGCGGCGAGAGCCCCCGGGAGAGCACGCCUGAGACGAGUGCUUGCUGAGAGCGGGACCAGAGACUGCUGGAGUCGGACGCUGAAGCCGGGAUGCCACCUUUCCCAUCCUGUUCGUGACGUUGUGGAUCUGGGAGGAGCCCAACUAUCUUUUGGGGUCUUUUUGAAGAACGUUUUAAACUGUUUUUAUGGACUCAAACUUUUAGUUGUAUAUUUUAGACGGGCUUUUAUUUAGUUAAUAAAAGAGGUUGCAGGCAAACUUCUGCUCUCUGGUGUCUCUGUCCCUCUGGUUCUGCACCCUCGCUCCCCACCUGUGUCAUUGUGAACCCCUGUGUGACGCUGGAGCUCUGCCGCUCCGGCGUUGCCUAGGUUACACUUACUCAAAGGCAAAUGAGAAUAUCUUAACAAGAGUCUUUCAGCCUGGCCACAGCUGACAGACAUCGACCCAGAUAUUAAAUAAUCAAGGAAACAAAAACAGCUUACUCUUUAAAAUGCUCCAUGUGGCGUAUUUUGGUACGAAAGAGAAACCGAAGCUACUUUAAAACGAUCCGCGGUGUGAUCGCUUAUUUUUGGUCUAGAAGAGAUGGAAAAGAAGAAAGAUAGGAAAAAAAAACUUGCAGGAGCAAAACUCUUCUCUGAGCAACUCCAAGGCGUCCCUUGGAAAUCACGCUGAUUUGAUGGCUUUUUCCACUGUUUUCCCACAGAUCGGCGUCAUCCACUUCAAGCCGUUAGGCCUGUGCACAUGCUGUCCGGAGCGAUAGCAGAACGAGUGCGUCUUCACGGCCAGUGGAACUCUGAACAAAAGACAAAGAAGUCUCUUUUCGCUGUCCUUUCAUAGACUCCGCUGUCCAACGGGCUGGGACAUGCGCAGAACCCCUGCUCUCGGGGUUCGGCGGUGACAUCAUCACAUUGCUUCCGGGCGCAAAGCAUCAUGGGAAAUGAAGUGUCUCUUGGCGCUGAUGCUUAAAUAUGCUUUUCUGAGCAAUUUGGCACAGUCUUUUGGAGAAAAUCACUGCACAGUAAUUUGCUCAUGAGGGCAGACCCUCAACAUAAGUGAAUUUUAUGUUGCCCGUGUCGUCAAUGUUGUUUAAGUGUUGUGUUAGUGUUUCUGUUUGUCCUUUUGGUAUGAUUUCCAGUAUGUCAUCUAUGUAGCGUUUCCAUAGUUUGAUUUUGCAGUUUGGGGGCAGUGGCUAUGGCUUUUUGUUCUAGGUCUUCCAUGAAAAACUCGCACAGGGUGGUUGAUAACGGGUUACCCAUGGCGAAGCCUUCCAGUUGUUUGUAUAUUAUGUCAUUGUAUGUGAAGUAAGUGGAGUUAGCUACCAGUCCUAUCAGUAGUGCUAUGUCAUCUGCUGUGAGAUUUGUUCUUUUGUGUAAAGUCUUGUCCUGUCUGAUUCUGUUAACUACUAUGUCUAUGGUUUUUUGGGUUGGUGUUUUUGUGAACAGAGAUGUGACGUCAUGUGAGAUGAGUAUGUCGUUGUCUUCUAUUGUAAUUUAAAUUGAAAUGAAGAAGCCGGCAGCCGUCGGCGAAACUGUAGCGUCAAUUACAGGUAACAAAACCGUUUCUGUGUUUUAAAAAAGAACGACAACAUGGAACCUGCUCUACCUCCUGAGCUACUGCUGUCCCUUAAAAUAAGUUCAUAAGUUAUCCGCUCUAGUAAAACUGUGAAAACACUGCACCAAAUAACCUUAUAAUCUUCUGUCUUUUACUCCAAAUUACAUUUAUUCCAAAAUGUUCUUCCACCUUCUUUUCUUCAGAACCGUAUAUUUACUUAUUAAAAUAAAUACAUUUUUUUAAAAAGGAGGAAAAAUGUAAAACAAUUUAACUGUUGUUGAAUUUUAUAAGUUUUUCCAACUCUAACUUAUGGCUCAGUUCUUUUGAUCAUGUUUUUAAUCCCCAACUUUUUCGUGUUACUCACUAAUUACUGUGAAAUGUGAUUCUCUAGCUGAGUGGCUGCAGCCUCAAUUAAUGUGACUCUGCUUAUUCCUGCACAGCAGUGCUGGACUGACCAUAGGGCAUAGCGGGCAACUGCCCGCUGGGCCGACCCUUUCAUCUUUUAUGGGCCGGUGUCUGUUUUUUUUUUUUUUUUUUUUUUUUU
rnacentral:lncRNA from 1 species